rnacentral:lncRNA from 1 species
GGAAGCGACCUCCCUGACGGAAGCGGGCGCUGCGCGCCAGGGCAUCAUCGUCCACCAAGUAUGGCACGAUCACCGCACGGGGGUAUCUGGGGCACAAGCUGAAGUCCUCGUUCACCUCGCUCAGCCGCCACGCGUUGGUCUGCAGCGCAGGGAGGAGAGAGGCCAGGUCUAGGGCACCCAGGGAGUGCCCUGUCCCCGCGCCUCUUCCAGGCCCGGCGCUUCCACCUUCCCGGGCCCCUACGACCGCGCCCACUUCGCGAGCUACUCUCUUGCAGUAGAGUUCGGGCGGGAGGAAGUGCCAGGAGUCGCCCAAUCUCAGGCCCUUGGGACGGUAGAAUAAAGGGAAGGAGGUGAUGACUGAUUCCAGGGAGGACAGCGUCCGGAGAAGGAAGUCAGGGGCUCUGGGGAGGGUCGGAAUUGUCUCGCCCGCGCCCUUUCCAGCCCCUCAGUCCUGUAGCUUCAGCUUCGGCCUCUCCAAGUACCCCGGACCACCCUGCAUCCCCCUGCCAUUUAGCUGCGGCUGCGGAGCCUCUUUGAACAGAAGCACCUUUUUAUUCCCCUCUACGCGAGACAGGGAGAGCUUAAAGGGCUCGGGAGCUCCCUCGGCACACCUCGAUGGAGCGGGCGAUGCCCAGCGUCGCUUCCGCGCCCUCUAUUUCCAGCUGCAGCACUCGCAGGUCUUUACAGCACAGGGUGAUGGUGCCCGAGUCACUCGCAACCCUGGGGAGGGACGUUCCUUUCCCAGGAGAGGGGCAACGAGUUUCCCGGAUUGGGCUUACGCAGGAGGGCGCCAGCUCUGACUGCGCUGGCCGUGCCCCCUACUCCGCCAAGCCGCGCGCUCCCCAACCCCGGGGACCCUCCCCCACCCCGCCACGUCUCACUGCUUCUCGAAGGAGUCGACGCUACGCAACAGCAGCAGCCACAGGUCCGGAGAGGACGCGGGCCCUGGCGACAGGAGCAGGUGGUGGACGGUGACUCACACCGUGCCGCGAAGCGGGGGCGCCUCCGGGCCCCGUAGAAACUCUGCUUGGGCUCAGCCCGUAUGGAUCAGCUCCGAGAACUCCAUUCUGCCAGUGAGAGACCCGGGGCCCAGCAGAAGGCCAGACUCUGAGAGCGUCAGGAGGGGCAGGCUGGAGCUCCGAAAGGGAUAGGAACUGCCUGGGCAGCUGGCGACGCCGUCUGGACAGCUGUUAAGGAGGCCCCUCAGAGGAAAGGAUCACAGUUUCACAGGAAUUUCCCCUCAUAUUGCCAAUAUUUCUUAGCGAGGUCCCUGGCCAGAGACUGUUAUAAGCAAAUCUCCAUGUCAUCGUCUGUGAAAUGGGGAGAAUAAUCUUGCCUAAAGUCCUUAACCCUGUGCCUGGGUUGCAGGAGACACUCAA